rnacentral:piRNA from 1 species
UAAGAGGUACCCAGAUUCAAGAGAGCAGCC